AACGGGGCAUGCAUUAGUAGCGGCGAGUGAAGCGGCAAAAGCUCAAAUUUGAAAUCUGGCACCUUCGGUGUCCGAGUUGUAAUUUGAAGAUUGUAACCUUGGGGUUGGCUCUUGUCUAUGUUUCUUGGAACAGGACGUCACAGAGGGUGAGAAUCCCGUGCGAUGAGAUGCCCAAUCCUAUGUAAGGUGCUUUCGAAGAGUCGAGUUGUUUGGGAAUGCAGCUCUAAGUGGGUGGUAAAUUCCAUCUAAAGCUAAAUAUUGGCGAGAGACCGAUAGCGAACAAGUACAGUGAUGGAAAGAUGAAAAGAACUUUGAAAAGAGAGUGAAAAAGUACGUGAAAUUGUUGAAAGGGAAGGGUUUGAGAUCAGACUCGAUAUUUUGUGAGCCUUGCCUUCGUGGCGGGGUGACCCGCAGCUUAUCGGGCCAGCAUCGGUUUGGGCGGUAGGAUAAUGGCGUAGGAAUGUGACUUUGCUUCGGUGAAGUGUUAUAGCCUGCGUUGAUGCUGCCUGCCUAGACCGAGGACUGCGAUUUUAUCAAGGAUGCUGGCAUAAUGAUCCCAAACCGCCCGUCUGAAAAAAAGGAACAAAAUUCUUUUAGGGUUUUUUUUUAGUUCC
rnacentral:rRNA from 1 species